UCUCUACCCUUUGUGAACUAUUAUACCUGUUGCUUCGGCGGCGCCCGCGAGGGUGCCCGCCGGUCUCAUCAGAAUCUCUGUUUUCGAACCCGACGAUACUUCUGAGUGUUCUUAGCGAACUGUCAAAACUUUUAACAACGGAUCUCUUGGCUCCAGCAUCGAUGAAGAACGCAGCGAAACGCGAUAUGUAAUGUGAAUUGCAGAAUUCAGUGAAUCAUCGAAUCUUUGAACGCACAUGGCGCCUUCCAGUAUCCUGGGAGGCAUGCCUGUCCGAGCGUCGUUUCAACCCUCGAGCCCCCGUGGCCCGGCGUUGGGGAUCUGCCACGGCAGGCCCCUAAAACCAGUGGCGGACCCGAAGGCCCUCUCCUUUGCGCAGUAGCAUCAGCCUCGCAUUGGGAUCCCUCGGCGUCCUGCCUCUAAACCCCCCACAAGUCCGCUCCGGCGGCACCAAGGUUGACCUCGGAUCAGGUAGGAAUACCCGCUGAACUUAAGCAUAUCAAUAAGCGGAGGA
rnacentral:rRNA from 1 species